CUCUGGCCCUUCCCUCCCCAACUCUCUCUGUCGUCGCGAUUUGUUUGCGUCAAGGAGCAAGCACCCUCUUCCGGCUUAAUUUAGAGUUUGGGGAGGGAAGCCAUGGCGGACAUGGAGGAGCUUUUUGGCAGUGAUGCCGACACCGAACCGGAGCAGAAAGAUUCGGAUUCGGGCUCUGAGUCUGAUUCUGAUCAGGACAAUGCUGGUUCUGUCAGUAAUAUUUCCGGUAGCGAGAGUGAAAGAGAGGAUGACCAAGAGACUUUAAAACCCAGUAAUAAAGAAUUGUUUGGGGACGAUAGUGAGGAUGAUGGUGCUUCUCAUCAUAGCGGUAGUGAAAACCGGUCGGAAAGAUCCUACAAUCCCUCUGAAGUCUCUGGACACUCCGAAGCGGAGGAUCGCGACCAGUCAGAUGCUGACCAGCACAGCGGUUCUGAAGCUGGUCACGAUGAAGAUGAAGACGAGGACCACAGAUCAGAGGAUGGCAGCCAUCACUCGGAGCCAGAAGGGUCUGAGAAAGGACACUCGGAAGAUGAGAAAUGGGGAAGGGAAGACAAAAGUGAUCAGUCGGACGACGAGGACAAACUCCAGAUCUCAGACGAUGAAGAACGACUGCAGCAUUCAGACGAUGAAGAGAAGAUCUCCGAUGAUGAGGAGAGGCUUCCGGUUUCAGACGGUAAAGAAAGGCUGCAGCAUUCAGAUGAGGAGAAAAUGCACAUUUCGGAUGAUGAAGAGAGGCCUCAAGUCUCGGAUGAGGAAAAGUUACAGAAUUCAGACGAAGAUGAAAGGCCUCGGAAUUCGGACGAAGAGAAUGUGCUGAAUUCAGACGAUGAAGACGAAAGGCCACAGCGUUCCGAUGAGGAGAAGAUGCAGAACUCAGACGAUGAGAAGCCUCAGCAUUCGGAUGAUGAGCACCGACUCUCAGAGGACGAGGAAGAACAUGAACGCAAAUCUGAUUCCGCAAGAGGCAGUGACAGUGAUGAUGAGAUGCCACAGAUGAAGCGUAAGAAACAAAUAGCAUCCGAUUCUGAAAUGGAGAGUGAUGCGGAAGGACAGAAAGAUAACAGGGAUGCCAUGGAUCUGUUUGGAGGGGCAGAUGACAUAUCUUCAGGGAGUGAUGGGGAAGAGAAGCCUCCAACUCCAGGGCAGCCCAUUGAUGAGAAUGGAUUGAAUGAGGAUCAGCAGGAAGAAGAGCCUGUUCCAGAAACGCGAAUAGAAGUAGAAAUUCCCAAAGUAAACACAGAUUUAGGAAAUGAUUUAUAUUUUGUGAAGCUUCCCAACUUCCUCAGUGUUGAACCUAGGCCUUUUGAUCCGCAGUAUUACGAAGAUGAAUUUGAAGACGAGGAGAUGCUUGAUGAAGAAGGCAGAACGAGAUUGAAACUGAAGGUGGAGAACACAAUACGUUGGCGAAUUCGUCGAGACGAAGAAGGGAACGAAAUUCGUGAAAGCAAUGCACGGAUAGUCAAAUGGUCUGAUGGAAGCAUGUCGCUGCAUUUGGGGAAUGAAGUGUUUGACGUGUACAAAGCGCCAUUGCAAGGGGACCACAACCAUCUCUUCAUCAGACAGGGAACGGGUUUGCAGGGGCAAGCGGUGUUCAAAACUAAACUCACCUUUAGGCCUCACUCGACAGACAGCGCCACGCACAGGAAGAUGACUCUCUCCCUUGCGGACAGAUGUUCAAAGACACAAAAAAUACGUAUUUUGCCAAUGGCCGGUCGCGACCCUGAAUCCCAACGCACAGAAAUGAUUAAGAAAGAGGAGGAGAGGCUGCGAGCGUCCAUCCGCAGGGAGUCCCAGCAGCGGAGGAUGCGGGAGAAGCAGCACCAGAGGGGCUUGAGCGCUAGCUACUUGGAGCCGGAUCGCUACGAUGAUGAAGAUGAAGGCGAGGAAGCCAUCAGCCUGGCAGCCAUCAAGAACAGAUACAAAGGUGGCAUCAGAGAGGAACGCGCUCGGAUAUAUUCUUCAGACAGCGAUGAAGGAUCCGAUGAAGAUAAAACACAGCGAUUACUGAAGGCAAAGAAACUCAACAGCGAUGAGGAAGGGGAGCCUUCGGGGAAGAGGAAAGCAGAGGAUGAUGACAAGGCCAGUAAGAAGCAUAAGAAGUAUGUCAUCAGCGAUGAAGAAGACGAAGAUGAAGAGGCAUAAUACCCAAUGUAUUCUGAAACUUGAAAAUACUUUUUUAAAAAACAGAGAGAGAGAAAGAGAGAGGCUGUCUCUUCUGCAGACAAGAUGUAGAAUGAAACUGCAGGACUGGCUCUUACCCUCGGCCUGCCUUGGGUGGAUUCGGCAGACAUUUCAGAGCCGAUUGCUGCCAGGGAUUUCGAUCGAUUGCCGGUUCCCACAGAAACAAGCAACUGUACAGACGCCCCGACGUCACGUUCACCUGAUUUGACCUUCUCACUACCGAUACCUUUGCCUUCUUUUCACAUACAGAAUACUACAUGCCCCAAAGAGGUUUGCAAUAAGUUCUCUCCUGUUUAUUUUAUUUUAUUUAUUUCCAAUAUUUAUAUCCCGCCCUUCUCACCCGAACGGACUCAUUUCGGCUUACAACACUGGCACAAUUAGGUGCCUAUACAAAAUCAAUCAACAAUACAUAAAAUCAGUUAAAAACUAUUAAAUACGGGUUCCUUUCAUAGCUGUUUCGUGGACACACUGCGGCAUCUUCAUCACCCUCUCAUUUGAAAUACUGCUUUUAAUGUCCAAGAGCAGUGAUGACUAGAAGGAGAUAUAAAGGUGAAUUAUGGGCCAUGUUUCAGUAACUCUUUUGGAACGAGGAAAUGAAGGAUUCCCUUCACUGCUUUUUGACAACAGUAUCCAGUUCUUCCAUUUAUAUAAUAGCUAGCUGUGCCCGGCCACACGUUGCUGUGGGGUUGUCUGGUGGUGUUGGUAAGAAAUAGUUGAGGUAGUGGUGGUAUUGAAUGUCUGUUGUAUGGUUGUCUUUAUAUUUAGUAUGCAUUUGGUUGUUUGUGUACUGUGAAAGUGGUGAGCGUAGAGGGGGUGUAUGUCCCUGUGUAGUAUUGUAUAGUAUUUAUACGUUGUCCAUGUGUUGUGAAUGCUUGGAUUGUGUCCUGCUGCAUAGUAGAAAGGGUUGGGCUGGAUGGCCCUUAGGGGUCUCUCCAAACUCUUGUGCCUGGGCUGAGUAGGUUGCUAGGAGACCAAGUGGGCGGAACUUAGCCUUGUAACUGGCAGCAAUUGGAUAAAAACAAUUAUUGCUCUCCCUCUAAUUAGGACUUUAUUUUUCUUUUCUUUUUGUUGUAUCAACCUAGAGCCAUCGAUGAUGGGUUGUGUUGUCAAAUUUCAAGGUUGGGGGGCCUGUAGUUUUGUUGUUAUGUCCGGUGCCCUGAUUCCAUCACUCUUUUAUAUAUAUAGAUAUAAUUUCAUUCUUAUACGCCGUCCCAUCUCCCCGAAGGGACUCAGGGCGGCUUACAUGGGGCCAAGCCCGGUCAUCAACAAUAUAAAAACAAGCAGUAAAACAAAUCAAACAACAAUAAAACAAGUUCUAGAAACACAUACAAUACAUACUGAUAAAAUCAUGGAUAAGAUUUGUAGGAAACUGGGCCAAAGUGCUAGUUAUGUUGAUAUCAUCAGGGAGGAGUGGUAUUCCAUUUUCCAAGCAGUUUUGAUCCGGAUGCAGAAAUAAUGGGGAAACCAGCAGGUUGUUAGGAAUUGUGGGAGUUGAAGUCCAAAACACCUGGAGGGACAAAGUUUGCCCAUGUCUGGUCUAAACUGUAGAAUUAAUGCCGUGUGUCACCACUUUAGCUCACAUGGCUCAAUUCCAGUUACAUUAGAGUCUCACUUAUCCAAGCUAAACGGGCCGGCAGAAACUUGGAUAAGCGAAUAUCUUGGAUAAUAAGGAGGGAUUAAGGAAAAGCCUAUUAAACAUCAAAUUAAGUUAUGAUUUUACAAACUAAGCACCAAAACAUCAUGUUAUACAACAAAUUUGACAGAAAAAGUAGUUCAAUACGCAGUAAUGUUAUGUUGUAAUUACUGCAUUUACGAAUUUAGCACCAAAAUAUCAUGAUAUAUUGAAAACAUUGACUACAGAAAUGCAUUGGAUAAUCCAGAACCUUGGAUAAGCGAGUCUUGGAUAAGUGAGACUCUACUGUAUUAUAGGAGCCACCAGCGGCUCGGUGUGUUAAAGCGCUGAGCUGCUGAACUUGCAGACCGAAAGUCACAGGUUCAAACCUGGGGAUUGGAGUGAGCGCCUGCUGUUAGCUCCAGCUUCUGCCAACCUAGCAGUUCGAAAACAUGCAAAUGUGAGUAGAUCAAUAGGUACCGCUCCAGCGGGAAGGUAACGGCGUUCCAUGCAGUCAUGCCUAUGGCCACAUGACCUUGGAGGUGUCUACGGACAACGCCUGCUCUUCGGCUUAGAAAUGGAGAUGUGCACCAACCCCCAGAGUCGGGCACGACUGGACUUAACGUCAGGAGAAACCUUUACCUUUACUACUGUAUUAUAAAGCACUGUGCCAUGGCAGUUAAAGUGGUGCAAAACUGCAUUGAUUCGACAGUGUAGAUGAACUUUUAGAGACCCUUGCUGACUAACUGCAGAUCAUCUGACACCUUUCUACUAAGCAGCAUCUCUUUGUGUUGAUAAAAUGAUAAAACAUCCGAAACGAAAUUAGCCGAGAGCCAAAGUAGAACAACAGCAGAAUAAUCCACCUACACCUUUUUCAAAGCAAAUGCCAGAUUAUCUGUAUCCACAUGAUUCAUUAACACUGUUAUACAAUAGCCUACAGAUAGAUACCCGGCUAUUUUCAGUAUUCCCUGUCACUCAGGGAUGCUUGUUCCCGUUUUACAAAACAAAUGGGCACUGGUUUCCAAUCAGAAAGGAUACGUGUUAUUCUCCUGCAACAAAGAAGAACCAUUGUGUGAGAUGGAUAUGUGUGUGGGUUGUGGAGAUGAACUGGUUUCUAGCCAUGUUUAUACAGUGCAAUGAAGAUAGAAGCAAGUUUGGACACUUUCCCCGGCUUCUCUGUUCUAGGAUUGUGAUGCAUCGUGGCUAGAAGUCCAAAACACCCAGAGGGCUGAAGUUUGCCCAUGCCUGGUCUACACUGUAGAAUUAAUGCAGUUUGUCACCACUUUAGCUAUGGGAUCAGGGUAGCUAUAGUCUUGGAAGUCCUUAGUCUUUCCUGCCAAAUAGGACUAAUGCUUCAGCCAACUACAAUUCCAGUUACAGUAGAGUCCCACAUUAUGUCUUUGUGUCAAUAAUAAUAAUAAUAAUAAUAAUAAUAAUAAUAAUAAUAAUGAUAAAUGAUGAUGAUGAUGAUGAUGAAUUUAUUACCCUCCUCUCCCUGUGGCUCAAAGCAGGAAACAACAUCAUUACAACAAGAGAUAAAAUAUUAUUAUUAAUAAUAAUAUUGUGGUGUAAUACAAUGUAAUAAUAAUAAUAAUACACUAUUAUAAUUGUAUAUUUAUAUUACAUGUAUUGUAAUUUGUAUCGUACAAUAUAAUAAUAUAUAAUGCUUACUAGCUGUGCCCAGCCACACGUUGCUGUGGCGAAGUAUGGUGGUAUGGGAAAUAAAGUAUUGAGGAAUUGGUGGUAGUUAAGGUAAAGGGUCCCCUGGGCUGAGUGGGUUGCUAGGAGACCAAGUGAGCGGAGCUUAGCCUUCUAACUGGCAGCAAUUGGAUAAAAACAAUUAUUCCUCUUCCUCUAAUUAGGACUUUAUUUUUCUAGACGCAUGGCUGAGGGGUUGUGAUGUCAAUUUUCGAGGUUGUGGGGUGUUUACUUUUGUUGUUUUGUCUGCUGCCGUGAUGCCAUCACUCUUUUAUAUAUAUAGAUAUAGUGCUUAUAUUGCGCUACAGUAUACCAAUACAGUAGAGUUUCACUUAUCCAAGAUUCGCUUAUCCAAGGUUCUGGAUUAUCCAAUGCAUUUUUGUAGUCAAUGUUUUCAAUAUAACGUGAUAUUUUGGUGCUAAAUUCGUAAAUACAAUAAUUACAACAUAACAUUACUGCAUAUUGAACUACUUUUUCUGCCAAAUUUGUUGUAUAACAUGAUGUUUUGGUGCUUCAUUUGUAAAAUCAUAACCUAAUUUGAUGUUUAAUAAGAUUUUCCUUAAUUCUUCUUUAUUAUCCAAGAUAUUCGCUUAUCCAAGAUUUUGCCGGCCCGUUUAGCUUGGAUAAGUGAGACCCUACUGUAUUAUAAAGCAUUGAGCCAUGGCAAUUAAAGUGAUGUAAACUGCAUUGAUUCUACAAUGUAGAUGCACAUAUGAUCUUCUGGAAACCAAAGUCCAAAAAGGCCCUUUCCCGCAGCUUGUCAUAUUUCCUACUAAAACUAUAUUCAGUUUUUAGUAACCAGUUCCAAAUUUGCAUCUGUAUUUGCAGAUCAGCAGGUGCGAAGUGCGUUAAAGCGCUGAGCUGCUGAACUUGCAGACCGAAAGGUCCCAGGUUCAAAUCUCGGGAGCAGAGUGAGCGCCCGCUGUUAGCUCCAGCUCCUGCCAACCUAGCAGUUGAAAAACAUGCAAAUGUGAGUAGAUCAAUAGGUACUGCUCCGGCGGGAAGGUAACGGCGCUCCGUGCAGUCAUGCCGGCCACAUGACCUUGGAGGUGUCUACGGACAACGCCAGCUCUUCGGCUUAGAAAUGGAGAUGAGUCGGACAUGACUGGACUUAACGUCAGAGGAAACCUUUACCUUUACCUUAGGUGUUCACCAGGCAACGAUACCUCCGGGUUGUUGUGUGUUUUCCGGGCAAUAUGGCCAUGUUCCAGAAGCAUUCUCUCCUGACGUUUCACCCACAUCUAUGGCAGGCAUCCUGAGAGGUUGUGAGGAUGCCUGCCAUAGAUGUGGGCGAAACGUCAGGAGAGAAUACUUCUGGAUACGUCUACACACAACAACCCUGUGAUCCCGGCCAUGAAAGCCUUCGACAACACAACUACACCUCCCUUUUUCAGGUGACAGGUGAAGUGGCCAGUGUUCAAGCAACGCACCGAAGCCAAACCCUGAUAGAGGACAGAAGACGUUGCCGAUUGCAUCAUCUACUUAGACUAUUUCAGUCAGCCCUGAACGUACAGUGUGUCUAUGACAAGGUCUCCUCGACGCAUCUUUCUUGGAUGCUCAACCUAUGGAGGAAGCGAGAUAAGUACACAUUGCCUCUUCCAAAGGACACAAAGAGGGAAUAUUUAUCCAGACUCCGAGUCAAAGAGGUUCAGCUCCGGCUUGGCUUUCCAGAUCAGAAGAGAUACCCGCGGAACACAAGCCUCCCUCGUCUACAUUUUGAUUUGGCAAAAACAAGGCUGUGUUUUAAUAACAUCUAAGACAAAAAAACAAAUUCCAGUCCGGCACAUUUUCUCAGCAAAAGCAGGUCACAUAAAACCAGCUUCAAUGGCUGGAGUAAAAGAGACUUAAGGAAGGAGGCAAGAGUAUGGCUGGAGCUUGUGAAAGUUUACAACUCUAAUAAUAAUAAUAAUAAUAAUAAUAAUAAUAAUAAUAAUAAUAAUAAUAAUCAGAAACUCCUCAAAGCACAGCAGACAAAAAAAUCAGUACAAGAAAACCGUACUACAAACUAGAGCUGACAGCUGGCACAACAAAACAUUGCGUGGAAAGUUCCUUGACAAAAUUGAAGGAAAAGCUGAUAAGGAGAAGACCUGGCUCUGGCUCACGAAUGGGACCCUGAAGAAGGAGACAGAAGGCCUGAUCCUUGCAGCCCAGGAGCAAGCCAUCAGGACAAAGGCAAUUCAGGCCAAGAUCGAAAAAUCAGCUGAUGACACAAAAUGCAGACUGUGCAAGGAAACCGACGAAACCAUUGAUCAUCUCCUCAGCUGCUGUAAGAAAAUCGCACAGACAGACUACAAACAGAGGCACAACUAUGUGGCCCAAAUGUUUCAUUGGAACUUAUGCCUCAAGUACCGCUGAUUUCUGGGCCUGAAUAUAUUGCACAAGAUUUCCCUAUCCUAAAAUGAUACAUUUUAAUAUAUUGGGUUUAUGGUUCCCGUCCCCUUGAUCUGGUCAUUUAAGUGUGAUUUAUCGUUAUAAUUGUACUAUUUUAUCUUGUUUAAUAAUGUGUGUUAUGUCGUUAUGUAAUGUUGUGUGGCUUUUAAGACUGUAAACCGCCCUGAGUCCCAUCCGGGAGAUAGGGCGGUAUAUAAAUAAAGUUUUAUUAUU